GGUACUGCAGGUCCUGCACCUUCCAGCGAUCCCACAGCGCCCCCUGCCGAUCACGACCAGGUACUGCAGGUCCUGCACCUUCCAGCGACCCAACAACACCCCCUGCAGGCCACGAUUAGGACUGUGCUAAAGGACAGAGGAGUAUCCAUUCAAACUUGUUGUUUCUUAAUACUGUUUUUGCC